rnacentral:rRNA from 1 species
UCGCUCGCCUGUUUACCAAAAACAUCACCUCUAGCAUCACCAGUAUCGCCUGUUUACCAAAAACAUAACCUUUAGCCAAACAAAUAUUAAAGGCGACGCCUGCCCAGUGAACAAUUAAACGGCCGCGGUACCCUAACCGUGCAAAGGUAGCAUAAUCAUUUGUUUACUAAUUAUAGACCUGUAUGAAAGGCAGAAUGAGGGCCUAGCUGUGUCUUAUAAUCAAUCAAUUAAAGUGAUCUCCCAGUUAAAAAGCUGGGAUAUUAACAUAAGACCAGAAGACCCUGUGAAGGUUAAAAUAAACCAUUAAACCAAAUAAUGAUAACUUUCGGUUGGGGCGACCUUGGAAAAAAAAAGAACUUCCAAUGUAGUGAUUAUAACCCACAACCCAGGCCAACAAGCCAAUAACGACCCAGCACAGCUGACAAAAGAACCAAGUUACUCCAGGGAUAACAGCGCAAUUUUCUUCAAGAGCCCAUAUCAAAAAGAAGGUUUACGACCUUGAUGUUGGAUCAGGACAUCCCGAUGGGCAGCCGCUAUCAAAGGUCGUUUUCAAUCCU